CUUGGCGUGAGGUUAAUUUCAUAGAAGGCCAAGGUCAUCUGCAUUCCAUCUUAAACAGGAAAGAAAGCAAGGUGCAGCUUGGCAGGGGCCAAGAUAAGAGCUGAGGCCACUGAUGUAUGUCCAGUUGCAGCCUGGAAACCAUCACGGGGGAUGACAUAAACCACCGUCCACGUACGAUGCUUUAUAGGUUGUGUGGACAUGGGCUCCGGAGCCAGACCCCUUGGGUUCCGGUCCACGUUCACCAUUCAUUGGUUGCAAGCGGUACCAAGUUUGUGAUGAGAUGUUUCCGUGAUUGUUGGAUCGGUGGCUUUUCCCAAGUAGACCACGAGCUCCAGAGCUCUGACUGCCGGGAGAAGGAAGAGGACAGCCCCUCGGGGCCGCACAGAAUGGACAGGCCAAGCGACAGGAGGGAGGCCGCCCGCUCUCCUCCAGGGCCUCGAGGAAGGCACAGUCACACCUGCAAAACACAGCGCCCAUCUUUUUCAUCCGCUUUUACCUCUCAGGAGACCCCGGUCCCCAGAGACCUGUUUUCACCUCCCCGGCUCGGCACACAUGUUUUCUACAUGAUAUUAACCGGUCGCCUUUGAAUCUCGCACAUCCUGGUAUGCUUUGGAUUCACCGACCUCAUUUUUACACACACACACACACACACACACACACACACACCCCAGAAUCUGUACUAGCUGACUGCCGGCAAAAGAAAACGUUAGUGUGGCUCUCUCUCCUUCUUUUAAACAGCUUAAUUGAGAUACAAUGUACACGCCAUAAAACUCACUUAAAGUGUGUUCUUGCCUGACUUUGC